rnacentral:tRNA from 1 species
AGCCAGUGUGGUGUAGUGGUUAGAGCAUUGGAUUAGGACUUGGGAGACCGGGGUUCAAAUCUCCACUUGGCCA